rnacentral:lncRNA from 1 species
CGAAUGAUGCCAUGAGAAAAGUUCAAAAAGGUAAUGGUAAAGAUCUAUAUGUUGGUUAUGGAUAAUAAUCACUACUUGUGACGACGCCCACUAAAGGACCUAUUCAAAACGGAAAUAAACAUAGCAACCAAAAACUGGAUAAUGACUACUGUGGAACAAGCAAAAGGAUUAAUACAUGCAUAUAUGUGUGUGUAAAUAUUGGUAUAUGGGGAGAUUUGGUUAUGCCUCUUCACUGCGGCAAAGGAGCAGACGGAAGAACGCUUUGCGGGCAAUUAGCUUUACCUGAUGGAGGAAGCUUGUAAAGAUCUGGCGCUUAAUGAACCCUCUUCCUCUAACUGGCGGGUACGUGUCGAUUUUGCUGUACUUGAAGAGAGUAGUCUCCUCAAAACUCUUCUUGGUUGCCUCCAUUUGAUUCCUUGCGUGUGUGCGCGCGCACGCAGAGAGAUGAAAAUGGUGUUCAAGGAAUAGAUACGGGGAGGAGAAAAGAGUAUUGAGAGAGAGAGAAUGGUGUUCAAGAAAUGGAUAUGGGGGAGAACUGAGGAGAAAUAGAG